GCUGGCGGCAGGCCUAACACAUGCAAGUCGAGCGCGCCUUCGGGUGAGCGGCGGACGGGUUAGUAACGCGUGGGAACGUACCCUUUUCUACGGAAUAGCCUUUGGAAACGAAGAGUAAUACCGUAUACGCCCUUUGGGGGAAAGAUUUAUCGGAGAAGGAUCGGCCCGCGUUAGAUUAGAUAGUUGGUGGGGUAACGGCCUACCAAGUCUACGAUCUAUAGCUGGUUUUAGAGGAUGAUCAGCAACACUGGGACUGAGACACGGCCCAGACUCCUACGGGAGGCAGCAGUGGGGAAUCUUAGACAAUGGGCGCAAGCCUGAUCUAGCCAUGCCGCGUGAGUGAUGAAGGCCUUAGGGUCGUAAAGCUCUUUCGCCUGUGAUGAUAAUGACAGUAGCAGGUAAAGAAACCCCGGCUAACUCCGUGCCAGCAGCCGCGGUAAUACGGAGGGGGUUAGCGUUGUUCGGAAUUACUGGGCGUAAAGCGCACGUAGGCGGAUUGGAAAGUUGGGGGUGAAAUCCCGGGGCUCAACCCCGGAACUGCCUCCAAAACUAUCAGUCUAGAGUUCGAGAGAGGUGAGUGGAAUUCCAAGUGUAGAGGUGAAAUUCGUAGAUAUUUGGAGGAACACCAGUGGCGAAGGCGGCUCACUGGCUCGAUACUGACGCUGAGGUGCGAAAGUGUGGGGAGCAAACAG
rnacentral:rRNA from 1 species